AUUGAACGCUGGCGGCAGGCCUAACACAUGCAAGUCGAGCGGAUGACGGGAGCUUGCUCCUUGAUUCAGCGGCGGACGGGUGAGUAAUGCCUAGGAAUCUGCCUGGUAGUGGGGGACAACGUUUCGAAAGGAACGCUAAUACCGCAUACGUCCUACGGGAGAAAGCAGGGGACCUUCGGGCCUUGCGCUAUCAGAUGAGCCUAGGUCGGAUUAGCUAGUAGGUGAGGUAAUGGCUCACCUAGGCGACGAUCCGUAACUGGUCUGAGAGGAUGAUCAGUCACACUGGAACUGAGACACGGUCCAGACUCCUACGGGAGGCAGCAGUGGGGAAUAUUGGAAAAUGGGCGAAAGCCUGAUCCAGCCAUGCCGCGUGUGUGAAGAAGGUCUUCGGAUUGUAAAGCACUUUAAGUUGGGAGGAAGGGCAGUAAGUUAAUACCUUGCUGUUUUGACGUUACCGACAGAAUAAGCACCGGCUAACUCUGUGCCAACAGCCGCGGUAA
rnacentral:rRNA from 1 species